AGGGCCAGCAGCCGCAGCAGGGAUGACUCCACAAGGACUGACUGUAUGUACCGGGGGAAAAACUUCUGGGGGCGCCCUGAAAGAAUGGAACAGGGAUGAUGUCAGCUAAAAAGAAUGGGCCCUCAAAAAGUCUGAGCAGUCACGGUGCAGAGCUCCACCCCAACCUCAGGAGCUACAUGAGGAGCCUGUAUAGGAGACAGCCAGGGAGGCCGAGGACCUUGCCAGCACCAUCCUUUGCAUCUGAAGAACAACAGCACCAAAUGAGCUUGAUUUUCCUCCUCCCAGUGACAAAGGGGAAGGAAAAACCUAGGGGGGGAAGAAGAAAGGAAGUUCCCCUCACCACAGCAAUGCAGGACCAGGGAACAUACAGGAGUUUCUGAACCAGCCUUCCCUGGCUGAUGAUAAUAGUCCACCAAACCCAACUGCAGAACCUGCAUUCUGAGAAUGUGCAUUGUAAAUCCAACAACAUGAAGUUUCAGACAGGAAGGUCGUGGUGGAAAGAGAGACAGAUGAGGAAGAGAUGAUGCAUUUUCCCGCCUUUUGGCUAUGUAUUUCUUUAUGAGCUAACACCCACUGGCUUGGUGAAGUUAGUGCAGAAUGUAUGUCAGCAGCUUUGGGGGUGGUAAAUUAUUCUAUAAAAAUGUUGAUGUUUAAACUGUGAAAGAAAAAUCAGUGCAUCUGUACCCGCUGGUCAGCAUAUGUGAUGUGUAGCCCUCAGUGCCCAAUCCACGGAGAAUCCCGGUGCUAGAGAGUCUGGCACUCUCAGUCAAGCUGUGACAACUCAAGCUUUUGGUUCUGUGGUUCAGCCCCUGGUGUGAUGAUCACAUAAUUGGAGUCUUGUCAAGGACUGCUGUGAAAUGAACUUUGAGUUAUAGGUAUAGUUAUAUUAUACCUGCCAUAGGUACAGAUCUGUUACAGAAACUGGCACUUUAGCUCAAGCUGAAGAGAUUAAUGCUUUUCUUUCUGGAAG